AUUGGACGCUGGCGGCAGGCCUAACACAUGCAAGUCGAGCGGAUGAAGGGAUCUUGCUCCUGGAUUCAGCGGCGGACGGGUGAGUAAUGCCUAGGAAUCUGCCUGGUAGUGGGGGAUAACGUCCGUAAACGGGCGCUAAUACCGCAUACGUCCUGAGGGAGAAAGUGGGGGAUCUUCGGACCUCACGCUAUCAGAUGAGCCUAGGUCGGAUUAGCUAGUUGGUGGGGUAAAGGCCUACCAAGGCGACGAUCCGUAACUGGUCUGAGAGGAUGAUCAGUCACACUGGAACUGAGACACGGUCCAGACUCCUACGGGAGGCAGCAGUGGGGAAUAUUGGACAAUGGGCGAAAGCCUGAUCCAGCCAUGCCGCGUGUGUGAAGAAGGUCUUCGGAUUGUAAAGCACUUUAAGUUGGGAGGAAGGGCAGUAAGUUAAUACCUUGCUGUUUUGACGUUACCAACAGAAUAAGCACCGGCUAACUUCGUG
rnacentral:rRNA from 1 species